rnacentral:rRNA from 1 species
CGGCGAACGGGUGAGUAACGCGUGGGCAACCUGCCCCCCAGACUGGGAUAACAGCUCGAAAGGGCUGCUAAUACCGGAUGAGCCUCUAGUGCCGCAUGGUGCUGGAGGGAAAGCGGUUCAGCGCUGGGGGAUGGGCCCGCGUCCCAUUAGCUAGUUGGUGAGGUAACGGCUCACCAAGGCGACGAUGGGUAGCCGGCCUGAGAGGGUGGACGGCCACACUGGGACUGAGACACGGCCCAGACUCCUACGGGAGGCAGCAGUAGGGAAUAUUGCGCAAUGGGGGGAACCCUGACGCAGCGACGCCGCGUGAGCGAAGAAGGCCUUCGGGUCGUAAAGCUCUGUCCUAUGGGAAGAAGGAGACGGUACCAUAGGAGGAAGCCCCGGCUAACUACGUGCCAGCAGCCGCGGUAAUACGUAGGGGGCGAGCGUUGUCCGGAAUUACUGGGCGUA